rnacentral:rRNA from 1 species
GACAGAGGGGCAAGCGUUGCUCGGAAUCACUGGGCGUAAAGGGCGCGUAGGCGGGAUGGCAAGUCAGUCGUGAAAUCUCUCGGCUCAACCGAGAAACGUCGGCUGAUACUGCCGUUCUUGAGGGAUGCAGAGGAGACUGGAAUUCCCGGUGUAGUGGUGAAAUGCGUAGAUAUCGGGAGGAACACCAGUGGCGAAGGCGACUACCUGGCCUGUUCUUGACGCUGAGGCGCGAAAGCUAGGGAGCAACGGG